UGCCUCAAUAGCUCAGUCAGUAGAACAUGAAACUUUUAAUCUCAGGGUUGUGGGUUCAAUGCCCACAAUGGGUAA